GACACGGCUGGCGGCGUGCUUAACACAUGCAAGUCGAACGGUAAGGCCCUUCGGGGUACACGAGUGGCGAACGGGUGAGUAACACGUGGGUGAUCUGCCCUGCACUUCGGGAUUAAGCUUGGGAAACUGGGUCUAAUACCGGAUAGGACCACGGUCUGCAUGGAUUGUGGUGGAAAGCUUUUGCGGUGUGGGAUGGGCCCGCGGCCUAUCAGCUUGUUGGUGGGGUGAUGGCCUACCAAGGAACGACGACGGGUAGCCGGCCUGAGAGGGUGUCCGGCCACACUGGGACUGAGAUACGGCCCAGACUCCUACGGGAGGCAGCAGUGGGGAAUAUUGCACAAUGGGCGCAAGCCUGAUGCAGCGACGCCGCGUGGGGGAUGACGGCCUUCGGGUUGUAAACCUCUUUCAGCAGGGACGAAGGGUGACUGACGGUACCUGUAGAAGAAGCACCGGCCAACUACGUG
rnacentral:rRNA from 1 species